UAGUAAGGGAUAACACAAAGAAAAUUGGGCUAAAGCCUUAUAAGCUUACACUAUCUGAUGAUAGAGUAAGAAAAACUUUAGUGGUAUAAGAUGAGCCCGCGUCCGAUUAGUUAGGUGGUGGGAUAACAGCCUACCAAGGCUACGAUCGGUAACCGGCCUGAGAGGGUGACCGGUCACACUGGGACUGAGACACGGCCCAGACUCCUACGGGAGGCAGCAGUGGGGAAUAUUGCACAAUGGGGGAAACCCUGAUGCAGCAACGCCGCGUGAAGGAUGAAGGUUUUCGGAUCGUAAACUUCUAUCAGUAGGGAUGAAAAAAAUGACGGUACCUAACUAAGAAGCCCCGGCUAACUACGUGCCAGCAGCCGCGGUAAUACGUAGGGGGCAAGCGUUAUCCGGAUUUACUGGGUGUAAAGGGUGCGUAGGUGGUAUGGUAAGUUGGAUGUGAAAGCCCAAGGCUUAACUUUGGGAUUGCAUCUAAAACUGCCAAACUAGAGUGCAGGAGAGGAAAGUAGAAUUCCUAGUGUAGCGGUGAAAUGCGUAGAUAUUAGGAGGAACACCAGUAGCGAAGGCGGCUUUCUG
rnacentral:rRNA from 1 species